UGAAUACGAGAUGCUACGGCGUCGAAGCAGUCUAUGUCAUACUUCCAAGAAAAGCUCGCACUGUCAUAAACAAAUAAUGCCUGUACCAUAACCGACACAGGUGGGUAGGUAGAGUAUACUAAGGGGCGCGAGAUAACUCUCUCUAAGGAACUCGGCAAAAUGACUCCGUAACUUCGGGAGAAGGAGUGCCUUAUUUAUAAGGUUGCAAUAACAAGAUCCAAGCAACUGUUUAUCAAAAACACAGGUCUCCGCUAAGUCGUAAGACGAUGUAUGGGGGCUGACGCCUGCCCAGUGCCAGAAGGUUAAAGAAGUUGGUUAGCAUUCGCGAAGCUGAUAACUGAAGCCCUGGUGAACGGCGGCCGUAACUAUAACGGUCCUAAGGUAGCGAAAUUCCUUGUCGGGUAAGUUCCGACCCGCACGAAAGGCGUAAUGAUUUGGAUACUGUCUCGGAGAGGGGCUCGGUGAAAUAGACUUGUCUGUGAAGAUGCGGACUACCUGCACCAGGACAGAAAGACCCUAUGAAGCUUUACUGUAACUUGAGAUUGAAAUUGGACUUUACUUGCGCAGUAUAGGUGGGAGGCGUUGAUAAUAUUCUUGCGGGAUUAUUUGAGCCAUCAGUGAGAUACCACUCUUGUAAUGUUAGAUUUCUAACUUUGUAUCAUUAUCUGGUCAAAGGACAGUUUCAGGCGGGCAGUUUGACUGGGGCGGUCGCCUCCUAAACGGUAACGGAGGCGCACAAAGGUUUCCUCUGAACGGGUAGAAAUCGUAUCUAGAGUGUAAAGGCAUAAGGAAGCUUGACUGUGAGACCUACAAGUCGAGCAGGGACGAAAGUCGGUCUUAGUGAUCUGACGGUGCUGAGUGGAAAGGCCGUCACUCAACGGAUAAAAGUUACUCUAGGAUAACAGGCUGAUCUCCCCCAAGAGUUCACAUCGACGGGGAGGUUUGGCACCUCGAUGUCGGCUCAUCGCAUCCUGGGGCGGUAGUACGUCCCAAGGGUUGGGCUGUUCGCCCAUGAAAGCGGUACGCGAGCUGGGUUCAGAACGUCGUGAGACAGUUCGGUCCAUAUCCGGUGUAGGCGUUAGAAUAUUGAGAGGAGCCUUCUUUAGUACGAGAGGACCGAGAAGGACAUACCUCUGGUGUACCAGUUAUCGUGCCAACGGUAAACGCUGGGUAGCUAUGUAUGGAGUGGAUAACCGCUGAAAGCAUCUAAGUGGGAAGCCCACCUCAAGAUAAGUAUUCUCAU
rnacentral:rRNA from 1 species